rnacentral:rRNA from 2 species
UUGGUCAGGCUUAAUUGUCUGCACUGGUGAGAUGAAUCUCUACCUUCUGAGGAACUUUCAUGCCAUUUAUUUGGUGUGAUUGGAAAUCAGGACUGUUACUUUGAAAAAAUUAGGGUGUUUAAAGCAGGCUAACGUCUGAAUACAUUAGCAUGGAAUAAUGAAAUAGGACGGACUGAUUCUAUUUCGUUGGUUUCUAGGAUCACCGUAAUGAUUAAUGGGGAUAGUUGGGGGUAUUGGUAUUCAAUUGUCAGAGGUGAAAUUCUUGGAUUUAUUGAAGACUACCUACUGCGAAAGCAUUUGCCAAGGAUGUUUUCAUUAAUCAAGAACGAAAGUUAGGGGAUCGAAGACGAUCAGAUACCGUCGUAGUCUUAACCAUAAACUAUGCCGACUAGGGAUCGGAUGAUGUUAAUUUUUAAUGACUCAUUCGGCGCCUUACGGGAAAC